AAGUUAUUGUACCGAUAAGCAAUCUAGACAGCAUGUGGCAGAUAGGCAAUUCCUAUGAAUCUUUCUAGAUUUUCAAGAAUACUCCAAAGCAUAUCCCACAUUCUCCUAAUUUUGCUAGAAUAGUCCUGCCUCUUCUCUUUCCACUCACACUCUUUCUGCAAAAGAAAUAUGGGUAUGGAGGGUGCAUUUACAUUGACAAAACUUUCCACUCUGCCACCAUUGUUUUGUGCCAGUUCCUCCACUCAUUACCUUAGAUCCUUGUCAUUAUUACCUAAAUUGUCUUCCUUUAAAUACUCUUUUGGGACUAAAAUAUCAUCAUCUGCUCCUUUUAUUGUCACUGCCUCAUCAUCAUCAUCAUCAUCUCCUUCUACAACUGUUGGCCAAUCACAGGGUCUCAAGAUUAAUUCAAUUCCUACUAAGCCUAUUGAAGGUCAAAAGACCGGAACUAGUGGUCUACGCAAAAAGGUUAAAGUGUUUAUGCAGGAAAAUUACCUUGCCAAUUGGAUACAGGCAUUGUUUAAUUCAUUGCCAUUAGAGGAUUAUAAGAAUGGGCUGUUGGUCUUAGGAGGUGAUGGUCGAUAUUUCAAUCGAGAAGCUGCACAGAUAAUCAUUAAAAUUGCUGCGGGUAACGGUGUUGGUAAAAUAUUGGUUGGCAAGGAUGGUAUACUGUCCACGCCAGCUGUGUCUGCUGUGAUACGGAAGAGAGAGGCAAAUGGUGGCUUUAUAAUGAGUGCAAGCCAUAACCCUGGUGGUCCUGAGUAUGAUUGGGGUAUCAAGUUCAAUUAUAGCAGCGGCCAACCAGCACCUGAGUCUAUCACGGACAAGAUCUAUGGAAACACCCUUUCUAUUUCUGAAAUAAAAAUUGUCGACAUUCCUGAUGUUGAUCUUUCUCAACUUGGAGUUACAAACUAUGGAAAUUUUAGUGUGGAGGUGGUCGACCCUGUGGCUGAUUAUUUGGAGCUAAUGGAGAAUGUAUUUGAUUUUUCACUCAUUAGAAGUCUUGUUUCACGACCAGAUUUCAGGUUUGUAUUUGAUGCCAUGCAUGCAGUUACAGGGGCUUAUGCGAAGCCCAUUUUUGUUGAUAAACUAGGAGCUAGCCUGGAGUCUAUUGCAAAUGGAGUGCCACUGGAAGAUUUUGGGCAUGGUCAUCCAGACCCUAACCUUACGUAUGCCGAGGAUUUGGUGAAUAUCCUGUACGGACAGAAUGGACCUGACUUUGGUGCUGCAAGUGACGGAGAUGGUGAUCGAAACAUGAUUCUUGGAAGAAGCUUUUUUGUUACUCCAUCUGAUUCUGUUGCAAUUAUUGCUGCCAAUGCCCAAGAUGCUAUUCCAUAUUUCCAGUCCGGGCCUAAGGGUUUGGCUCGAUCAAUGCCCACUAGUGGUUCUCUAGAUCGCGUUGCCCAAAAGCUAAACCUCCCCUUUUUUGAGGUUCCAACUGGUUGGAAGUUCUUUGGUAAUCUAAUGGAUGCUGGAAAAUUGUCAAUCUGUGGGGAAGAAAGUUUUGGGACUGGUUCGGACCACAUCCGUGAAAAGGAUGGUAUAUGGGCUGUUUUAGCUUGGCUUUCAAUACUUGCAUAUCGGAACAAGGACAAAACAUCAGGGGAUAUAUUGGUUUCUGUUGCUGAUGUUGUGAAGGAGCACUGGGCCACUUAUGGAAGGAACUUCUUUUCGAGAUAUGACUAUGAGGAAUGUGAAUCAGAAGGAGCAAAUAACAUGAUCGAGUAUCUUCGGGAUUUGAUUUCUAAAAGCAAGGCUGGUGAUAAGUAUGGUUCUCCUGCAGGAAGUUAUAUCCUAGAUUUUGCUGAUGACUUCGCCUACACUGAUCCUGUCGAUGGAAGUGUCGCAUCCAAACAGGGGGUUCGCUUUGUUUUCAGUGACGGGUCCCGGAUCAUCUUUCGACUAUCGGGUACUGGGUCUGCUGGUGCAACAGUGAGAAUAUAUAUCGAACAGUUUGAGCUGGAUGCAUCCAAACACGACAUGGAUGCUCAAAUUGCUUUGAAACCAUUGAUAGAUCUCGCUCUUUCUGUAUCAAAGCUAAAGGACUUCACAGGAAGAGAGAAGCCCACUGUCAUCACAUAAGGUCAUAAAUAUCUGCAACUACAAUUGCUUAGGGGAAGCCUUCUUGUGACAGUUGUAGCAGUGAUUAUGAUGCAUGCUAUGAUCUUCUGUGGUAGCUUAGUCUAUCUUGGCCAAAAUAACAGGGUUGUCUUAGCUGAGAUACUUGUGAGAUACCUGCUCUUGACAUUUUAUUCCAGAAUAUAGGACCAUUCUCAUGCCUCGUACUGGCUGUUGGUGAUGGCGUCUUUGUGGGAUCACUCUAGUUCCUUCUAAAUUAAUUAGUCUAUUUCAGAUGUUUCCCGUGAGAUUUUUGGGCAUCUGUCUUUCUGAUCCUCAUCUUCAUAGUUUAUGUACUAGUAUCUGUUCCCUGGUGUUAUUGUGCAUUAUUGAAGACCAUGCUUUGAAAGGUUAAUCAUCCUAUAUCCUGGGAUAAGUACUUUCAAUAAGCAGUAGCUUCCUUUUUUCUUUAAGAAAACUAUACAGGAUUGAGGACUUAUUUAAUCAAGUUUUGCUAUUUGGUAGUUA